UCAGUCAAACUCCGAAUGCCAAUGACUUAUCCUUAGGAGUCAGACUGCGAGUGAUAAGAUCCGUAGUCAAAAGGGAAACAGCCCAGACCGCCAGCUAAGGUCCCAAAGUGUGUAUUAAGUGGAAAAGGAUGUGGAGUUGCUUAGACAACUAGGAUGUUGGCUUAGAAGCAGCCACCAUUUAAAGAGUGCGUAAUAGCUCACUAGUCGAGUGACUCUGCGCCGAAAAUGUACCGGGGCUAAAUACACCACCGAAGCUGCGGAUUGAUACCGAAUGGUAUCAGUGGUAGGGGAGCGUUCUAAGGACAGUGAAGUCAGACCGUAAGGACUGGUGGAGUGCUUAGAAGUGAGAAUGCCGGUAUGAGUAGCGAAAGACGGGUGAGAAUCCCGUCCACCGAAUGCCUAAGGUUUCCUGAGGAAGGCUCGUCCGCUCAGGGUUAGUCAGGACCUAAGCCGAGGCCGACAGGCGUAGGCGAUGGACAACAGGUUGAUAUUCCUGUACCACCUCUUUAUCGUUUGAGCAAUGGAGGGACGCAGAAGGAUAGAAGAAGCGUGCGAUUGGUUGUGCACGUCCAAGCAGUUAGGCUGAUAAGUAGGCAAAUCCGCUUAUCGUGAAGGCUGAGCUGUGAUGGGGAAGCUCCUUAUGGAGCGAAGUCUUUGAUUCCCCGCUGCCAAGAAAAGCUUCUAGCGAGAUAAAAGGUGCCUGUACCGCAAACCGACACAGGUAGGCGAGGAGAGAAUCCUAAGGUGUGCGAGAGAACUCUGGUUAAGGAACUCGGCAAAAUGACCCCGUAACUUCGGGAGAAGGGGUGCUUUCUUAACGGAAAGCCGCAGUGAAUAGGCCCAAGCGACUGUUUAGCAAAAACACAGCUCUCUGCGAAGCCGUAAGGCGAAGUAUAGGGGGUGACACCUGCCCGGUGCUGGAAGGUUAAGGAGAGGGGUUAGCGUAAGCGAAGCUCUGAACUGAAGCCCCAGUAAACGGCGGCCGUAACUAUAACGGUCCUAAGGUAGCGAAAUUCCUUGUCGGGUAAGUUCCGACCCGCACGAAAGGUGUAACGAUUUGGGCACUGUCUCAACCAGAGACUCGGUGAAAUUAUAGUACCUGUGAAGAUGCAGGUUACCCGCGACAGGACGGAAAGACCCCGUGGAGCUUUACUGUAGCCUGAUAUUGAAUUUUGGUACAGUUUGUACAGGAUAGGCGGGAGCCAUUGAAACCGGAGCGCUAGCUUCGGUGGAGGCGCUGGUGGGAUACCGCCCUGACUGUAUUGAAAUUCUAACCUACGGGUCUUAUCGACCCGGGAGACAGUGUCAGGUGGGCAGUUUGACUGGGGCGGUCGCCUCCUAAAGUGUAACGGAGGCGCCCAAAGGUUCCCUCAGAAUGGUUGGAAAUCAUUCGUAGAGUGCAAAGGCAUAAGGGAGCUUGACUGCGAGACCUACAAGUCGAGCAGGGACGAAAGUCGGGCUUAGUGAUCCGGUGGUUCCGCAUGGAAGGGCCAUCGCUCAACGGAUAAAAGCUACCCCGGGGAUAACAGGCUUAUCUCCCCCAAGAGUCCACAUCGACGGGGAGGUUUGGCACCUCGAUGUCGGCUCAUCGCAUCCUGGGGCUGUAGUCGGUCCCAAGGGUUGGGCUGUUCGCCCAUUAAAGCGGUACGCGAGCUGGGUUCAGAACGUCGUGAGACAGUUCGGUCCCUAUCCGUCGUGGGCGUAGGAAAUUUGAGAGGAGCUGUCCUUAGUACGAGAGGACCGGGAUGGACGCACCGCUGGUGUACCAGUUGUUCUGCCAAGGGCAUAGCUGGGUAGCUAUGUGCGGAAGGGAUAAGUGCUGAAAGCAUCUAAGCAUGAAGCCCCCCUCAAGAUGAGAUUUCCCAUAGCGUAAGCUAGUAAGAUCCCUGAAAGAUGAUCAGGUUGAUAGGUUCGAGGUGGAAGCAUGGUGACAUGUGGAGCUGACGAAUACUAAUAGAUCGAGGACUUAACCAUAUAAUAC
rnacentral:rRNA from 1 species